AGCUGACUCGUGCGGUUGCCACGUUGUGUCUGAGAUGCGUAGCACCACAUGAUUCAGCUU
rnacentral:pre_miRNA from 1 species